rnacentral:rRNA from 1 species
CAGCAGUAGCCGCGGGAAUACGGAGGGUGCAAGCGUUAAUCGGAAUUACUGGGCGUAAAGCGCACGCAGGCGGUUUGUUAAGUCAGAUGUGAAAUCCCCGAGCUUAACUUGGGAACUGCAUUUGAAACUGGCAAGCUAGAGUCUUGUAGAGGGGGGUAGAAUUCCAGGUGUAGCGGUGAAAUGCGUAGAGAUCUGGAGGAAUACCGGUGGCGAAGGCGGCCCCCUGGACAAAGACUGACGCUCAGGUGCGAAAGCGUGGGGAGCAAACAGGAUUAGAUACCCGUGUAGUCCCUGUCUCUUAUAC